UUUCCGUAGGUGAACCUGCGGAAGGAUCAUUACUGAGUGAGGGCCCCUCGGGGUCCAACCUCCCACCCGUGUUUAACGAACCUUGUUGCUUCGGCGGGCCCGCCUCACGGCCGCCGGGGGGCAUCCGCCCCCGGGCCCGCGCCCGCCGAAGCCACCUGUGAACGCUGUCUGAAGUAUGCAGUCUGAGACAAUUAUUAAAUUAAUUAAAACUUUCAACAACGGAUCUCUUGGUUCUG
rnacentral:misc_RNA from 1 species